rnacentral:rRNA from 1 species
UAACGCGUGGGUAACCUGGCCCAUACAGGGGGAUAACACUUAGAAAUAGGUGCUAAUACCGCAUAACAACAGAAAGCGCAUGCUUUUUGUUUGAAAACCAAGGUGGUAUGGGAUGGACCCGCGUCUGAUUAGCUGGUUGGCGGGGUAAAGGCCCACCAAGGCGACGAUCAGUAGCCGGCCUGAGAGGGUGGACGGCCACAUUGGGACUGAGACACGGCCCAAACUCCUACGGGAGGCAGCAGUGGGGAAUAUUGCACAAUGGGGGAAACCCUGAUGCAGCGACGCCGCGUGAGUGAAGAAGUAAUUCGUUAUGUAAAGCUCUAUCAGCAGGGAAGAAAAUGACGGUACCCGAGUAAGAAGCCCCGGCUAACUACGUGCCAGCAGCCGCGGUAAUACGUAGGGGGCAAGCGUUAUCCGGAUUUACUGGGUGUAAAGGGAGCGUAGACGGCAGUGCAAGUCUGGAGUGAAAGGCGGGGGCUCAACCCCCGGACUGCUCUGGAAACUGUACGGCUGGAGUGCAGGAGAGGUAAGUGGAAUUCCUAGUGUAGCGGUGAAAUGCGUAGAUAUUAGGAGGAACACCAGUGGCGAAGGCGGCUUACUGGACUGUAACUGACGUUGAGGCUCGAAAGCGUGGGGAGCAAACAGGAUUAGAUACCCUGGUAGUCCACGCCGUAAACGAUGAUCACUAGGUGU